UACGGAGGGAGCUAGCGUUGUUCGGAAUUACUGGGCGUAAAGCGCACGUAGGCGGCUUUGUAGGUUAGAGGUGAAAGCCCGGGGCUCAACUCCGGAAUUGCCUUUAAGACUGCAUCGCUAGAAUUGUGGAGAGGUAAGUGGAAUUCCGAGUGUAGGGGUGAAAUUCGUAGAUAUUCGGAAGAACACCAGUGGCGAAGGCGACUCGCUGGACAGGUAUUGACGCUGAGGUGCGAAAGCGUGGGGAGCAAACAGG
rnacentral:rRNA from 1 species